GGAGAGAUGGCCGAGUGGCUGAAGGCGCUCCCCUGCUAAGGGAGUAUGGGUAUAAAACGCCCAUCGAGGGUUCGAAUCCCUCUCUCUCCGCCA
rnacentral:tRNA from 1 species